rnacentral:lncRNA from 1 species
GAGGGAUGUUACAUGAGAUUCCAUAAUAAUAAAUUAGAUGCAAUUUGAGCCUUCAGAGAGCAGUAUUGGCUAAGGUACUGCAAGCAUACCCAUACUCAAAAUGUGUAUCAUACCCGGAAAGACAAAGUGUGCCUUCUUAGAGAUUCUCACCAUCAUGUGAUCAAGGCCACACUAAUGUGCUGGAGGAUGAGAGACCACAAGAAAGAGAUCCAAGCUGUCUCAUCUGUCCCAGCCAAGGCCUUCCUAGACUUGCUGGUCCCCAGUCAAACUGCCUGCUGAUGACGGAUAAAUGAAAUGAGUAAGCUCAGCUGAGAUCAGUCAAGUCUGGCUCAGACAAGAAAAAAUGCCCAUUUGGUUCACAGACUGAUGAAUUAAAUAAAUAUGUAUUGUUGUAUGCUACUGAGGUUUUAUGAUUUUUUUGCUAUGCAGCAUUAUGAUGGCAAUAGAUAACCGCUACACCUCCUGACUAAAUUUAUUCACACAGAGUAGAUCUUAAUAUAUGACAGAUCAAGUAGUAAGUAAAUAAUUGAAUAAAUGAAUGAAUAAGUGAAA